ACCCGGUCCCUUUCCGAACCCGGCCGUUAAGUGCCACCGCGCCAAUGGUACUGCGUCUCAAGACGUGGGAGAGUAGGUCAUCGCCAAAC
rnacentral:rRNA from 1 species